rnacentral:lncRNA from 1 species
AGUUGCGCACCUGUGUGUAUAUAUAUUACCCGUCGUUGUGUGUGUUUGAAGGUGACAUGUGGCCGCCUUUAAUAAAAUUAGAAUUACAGUCCACUAAUUCAUUUGUGUUGUGAAUUAGGCCCGUCCUUGCCUCUAUAAGGAAAGAAAACCCUCGGGAGAGGUUUUAUUCAUGGUUCAUCGAGCCGGAUCUUAAAGAUUUGGAUAGAUUUGUGAUUACCAAAAGCAUAGGGCAAUAUCAUCUGAGAUCGUUAGUAGAGCUUCUAGAUAUUAAAAAGGGUUUUUCUUCACCCGUUGAAGUGACUAAAAUUGAAACUAAAUAAGCCUUUCCCAUGUUACGUGUACCCCAAUUGGAAUUACCGAAGUUUGACGGGGAACUGACGAACUUUGCGUCAUGGAUGGAGACUUUUAUAGAAAAUGUUGAUAAUUAUAAUAUCAAUACUAUAACGAAGUUUACUUUUUUGAAAUCUGCACUCUUAACAAAAUGUCAUUUCUUCCGCUGACCAAGAAAAUAUCCGAGCUGGUCCAUAGAUUUGGGGUACGAAAUCAAGUAAGAAAUAACGCCCAUGAUCUUCAUCAUUUCCACGAUGAAAUAAUUAUGAUUCAACGUGCUUUAAAGGCGAAUGAUAUAGAUUUGGAAGAUACUAAUGGAUGGACGGGAAAGAUUUGUUAGUGAAAUUCAAGAUCAAGAUUUGAUCACAAUAGAAAAAUUCCUAUUGCAUGUUAGAAUUGCGGCUAAGGUUGCGGAAACUCGCAAUUCAAUGAAGAGUCAUGGAACAUCGCAAAUCAUGAAAAGGGUUGUUCAUAAAAGUAUAGUAAAUUUAUAUCAGUGUCCUAAUAAUUGUUUAGGGCAACAUUCACUCGAUGGUUAUGUCAAGAAGAAAACAUAAUACAAUGCCCGUCAAUUACAAGUCAAGAAUCUCGUUGUUUGUUUUAACUGUUUGAAAUGGGGCAUCGUCUAAGCGAAGGCUUAUCAAUUAAUUCCUGUCAAAAGUGUAAUGGUAGACACUAUACCCUUCUUCAUAGUACAUAUAUCGGUGAUUUUAUAUUAACAAUAUAUUCGAUUAUUGUAUGUCUUAUUUUUUCCAUAUAUUUUUCAAUAUAUUAUGUAGAAUUAAAUUCCUUAUUUUUGAUCAAA